rnacentral:rRNA from 1 species
CAAAAAAGGAAUUUAAUAAUUUUCGGAAAAUGGAUUUUUUUUGUUUUGGCAAGAGCAUGAGAGCUUUUACUGGGCAAGAAGACAAGAGAUGGAGAGUCCAGCCGGGCCUGCGCUUAAGUGCGCGGUCUUGCUAGGCUUGUAAGUUUCUUUCUUGCUAUUCCAAACGGUGAGAGAUUUCUGUGCUUUUGUUAUAGGACAAUUAAAACCGUUUCAAUACAACACACUGUGGAGUUUUCAUAUCUUUGCAACUUUUUCUUUGGGCAUUCGAGCAAUCGGGGCCCAGAGGUAACAAACACAAACAAUUUUAUUUAUUCAUUAAAUUUUUGUCAAAAACAAGAAUUUUCGUAACUGGAAAUUUUAAAAUAUUAAAAACUUUCAACAACGGAUCUCUUGGUUCUCGCAUCGAUGAAGAACGCAGCGAAAUGCGAUACGUAAUGUGAAUUGCAGAAUUCCGUGAAUCAUCGAAUCUUUGAACGCACAUUGCGCCCCUUGGUAUUCCAGGGGGCAUGCCUGUUUGAGCGUCAUUUCCUUCUCAAACAUUCUGUUUGGUAGUGAGUGAUACUCUUUGGAGUUAACUUGAAAUUGCUGGCCUUUUCAUUGGAUGUUUUUUUUCCAAAGAAAGGUUUCUCUGCCUGCUUGAAGUAUAAUGCAAGUACGGUCGUUUUAAGUUUUACCAACUGCGGCUAAUCUUUUUUAUACUGAGCGUAUUGGAACGUUAUCGAUAAGAAGAGAGCGUCUAGGCGAACAAUGUUCUUAAAGUUUGACCUCAAAUCAGUAGAGUACCCGCUGAACUUAAGCAUAUCAUAAACCCGGAAGAAA